GGUGUUUUGUGUAGCUGCUGUGGAGGAAAAAUGAUUAGAUUCAGGUGUGCAGGAUAUUUUUGGCUACAAAUACCAUCACCUUAAUGAAGUGAAAGCCAACAAUAUUAAGAACCAGUACCUGCCAACUAUUCUGCGCAAGCAGCAGAACUUAAAGCAUUGAUUGAAGCAUGCGAACUGGCAACAGUGUUCACAAGCAGUUGAAAGCAGCCAUACCAACGCCAGCUGAAACACCAUUGCAUAACCUGGAACCUGGCGAUUGGAUUGUGGUGAAGGACCUGAGGAGGAAGAACUGGAAGGCUCGAAGGUGAAAUGGUCCAUUCCAAGUGCUACUGACAACUGAGACUGCACUGAAGGUUGCAGAGAGAGCAACGUGGAUACACGCUAGCCACUUCACGAGAGUUCCUGAUCCAAGUGCUCAUCUGCCCCACUGAAAGGACCACACUCACACCUGCCGCUUGUGUGUAGAA